rnacentral:rRNA from 1 species
AACGAACGCUGGCGGCAGGCCUAACACAUGCAAGUCGAGCGAAGCCUUCGGGCUUAGCGGCGGACGGGUGAGUAACGCGUGGGAACGUGCCCUUUGCUACGGAAUAGCCCCGGGAAACUGGGAGUAAUACCGUAUGUGCCCUUCGGGGGAAAGAUUUAUCGGCAAAGGAUCGGCCCGCGUUGGAUUAGGUAGUUAGUGGGGUAAUGGCCUACCAAGCCGACGAUCCAUAGCUGGUUUGAGAGGAUGAUCAGCCACACUGGGACUGAGACACGGCCCAGACUCCUACGGGAGGCAGCAGUGGGGAAUCUUAGACAAUGGGGGAAACCCUGAUCUAGCCAUGCCGCGUGAUCGAUGAAGGCCUUAGGGUUGUAAAGAUCUUUCAGUGGGGAGGAUAAUGACUGUACCCACAGAAGAAGCCCCGGCUAACUCCGUGCCAGCCGCCGCGGUAAGAC